GAUGAACGCUGGCGGCGUGCCUAAUACAUGCAAGUCGAGCGAAUAGACGAGGAGCUUGCUCCUCUGACGUUAGCGGCGGACGGGUGAGUAACACGUGGAUAACCUACCUAUAAGACUGGGAUAACUUCGGGAAACCGGAGCUAAUACCGGAUAAUAUAUUGAACCGCAUGGUUCAAUAGUGAAAGACGGUUUUGCUGUCACUUAUAGAUGGAUCCGCGCCGCAUUAGCUAGUUGGUAAGGUAACGGCUUACCAAGGCGACGAUGCGUAGCCGACCUGAGAGGGUGAUCGGCCACACUGGAACUGAGACACGGUCCAGACUCCUACGGGAGGCAGCAGUAGGGAAUCUUCCGCAAUGGGCGAAAGCCUGACGGAGCAACGCCGCGUGAGUGAUGAAGGUCUUCGGAUCGUAAAACUCUGUUAUUAGGGAAGAACAAUGUGUAAGUAACUAUGCACGUCUUGACGGUACCUAAUCAGAAGGCCACGGCUAACUACGUG
rnacentral:rRNA from 1 species